rnacentral:rRNA from 1 species
GAGUUUGAUCGUGGCUCAGAACGAACGCUGGCGGCGUGGAUAAGACAUGCAAGUCGAACGGGAGAAUUGCUAGCUUGCUAAUAAUUCUCUAGCGGCGCACGGGUGAGUAACACGUGAGUAACCUGCCCCCGAGAGCGGGAUAGCCCUGGGAAACUGGGAUUAAUACCGCAUAGUAUCGAAAGAUUAAAGCAGCAAUGCGCUUGGGGAUGGGCUCGCGGCCUAUUAGUUAGUUGGUGAGGUAACGGCUCACCAAGGCGAUGACGGGUAGCCGGUCUGAGAGGAUGUCCGGCCACACUGGAACUGAGACACGGUCCAGACACCUACGGGUGGCAGCAGUCGAGAAUCAUUCACAAUGGGGGAAACCCUGAUGGUGCGACGCCGCGUGGGGGAAUGAAGGUCUUCGGAUUGUAAACCCCUGUCAUGUGGGAGCAAAUUAAAAAGAUAGUACCACAAGAGGAAGAGACGGCUAACUCUGUGCCAGCAGCCGCGGUAAG